rnacentral:lncRNA from 1 species
UAUUUAAACUUUUUAUUCUCUCUAAGCAAACGUACUUGCUCUCUGAUAGAACAGAAAAACCUCUAAGAGGAAAAAGUUUCUGUAAGAGAAAGACAAUUGCAGUUCACCAAAACUUUUCAGAACACAAAAGGUAAUGUUCCUUUUUCUGCUCUCCUUUCCUAUUCUCUGUUUCCAGAACAGAAGAAGACUGCCUCUGAAAUAAACCAAGGAAAUUCCCUGUAAUAGAUUUCAAUUUUCAAACCUCCAUUUUGCAAUAAGGUUUUAUAAGGUAACAUACAGCCUGGUGUAGUGGAAAAAUUGUUUUCUUUCUGGAGCUUCCAGUCCACCUACAUCAUGCAGCAAGCCCUGUAAAAAGACAAUAAGAUAGAAAAGAGUUUUAUUGUCAUUGCCGUGGUGAAUUCAAAGCUAUUACUUUCCAGCCAUCUGAGCCACAUAUCACAGUGUUAUUCCACAGCCUUUUGAGUACUAUGUGGAAAAAGAACACAACGCUAUUUCUGGCAUCCAGAUAAAAGCAGUUUGGUUUCUGGAAGCUGUGGAUACUUUGCUGAUACCUGCUGCAUCUGAUAGUUUCUUCCUGAUUUCUUCAAUCAAAGUCAAAACUGAAAGCACAACAGCAUGUGCUCUCUUUGGGCAUCCAAUCAGUCUGAAAUGGUACAUUUGUGAAACAAGCAAAGCUCUUCAGCAUGAGGCUUGGGAAGAUAGGUACUGGGUGUCAUCAAUCAAUGAAUUUUCCAGCAGGUCAUUUCUCAGAGCAUCCAUUCUCCUGAAGGCAGUUCCAGAGUUUAAAAAUUAAACCAAAU